UUUCUAGAGAUAGAAAGUUACUUCGGUACAUCGGUGACAGGUGGUGCAUGGUUGUCGUCAGCUCGUGUCGUGAGAUGUUGGGUUAAGUCCCGCAACGAGCGCAACCCCUAUUGUUAGUUGCCAUCAUUCAGUUGGGCACUCUAGCGAGACUGCCGGUAAUAAACCGGAGGAAGGUGGGGAUGACGUCAAAUCAUCAUGCCCCUUAUGACCUGGGCUACACACGUGCUACAAUGGUUGGUACAACGAGUUGCGAGUCGGUGACGGCGAGCUAAUCUCUUAAAGCCAAUCUCAGUUCGGAUUGUAGGCUGCAACUCGCCUACAUGAAGUCGGAAUCGCUAGUAAUCGCGGAUCAGCACGCCGCGGUGAAUACGUUCCCGGGCCUU
rnacentral:rRNA from 1 species